AGAGUUUGAUCAUGGCUCAGAACGAACACUGGCGGCGUGGAUUAGGCAUGCAAGUCGAACGGGAAAGUCCCCUUCGGGGGAUGAGUAGAGUGGCGAACGGGUGAGUAACGCGUGGGAAACCUACCCUUCGGUGGGGGAUAACAGGCCUAACGGCCUGCUAAUACCGCAUACGUCCGCGAGAACGCAUGAUCUUGCGGAGAAAGGUGGCCUCUCCUUGGAAGCUGCCGCGGAAGGAUGGUCCCGCGUCCCAUUAGCUUGUUGGUAGGGUAACGGCCUACCAAAGCGACGAUGGAUAGCCGGCCUGAGAGGGUGUACGGCCACACUGGAACUGAGACACGGUCCAGACUCCUACGGGAGGCAGCAGCUAAGAAUCUUCUGCAAUGGGCGAAAGCCUGACAGAGCGACGCCGCGUGAACGAUGAAGGCCGCAAGGUUGUAAAGUUCUUUUCUUUGUGAGGAAUAAGGGAGAGAGGAAAUGCUCUUCUGAUGACGUAAGCGAAGGAAUAAGCCCCGGCCAAUUACGUGCCAGCAGCCGCGGUAAUACGUAUGGGGCGAGCGUUGUUCGGAAUCAUUGGGCGUAAAGGGCGUGUAGGCGGCAUAGCAAGCUUGGUGUGAAAUGUCACGGCUUAACCGUGAAUGUGCGCUGAGAACUGCUAAGCUUGAGUUUUGGGGGGGAAGCUGGAAUUCCUGGUGUAGGGGUGAAAUCUGUAGAUAUCAGGAAGAACACCGAUGGCGAAGGCAAGCUUCUAUCCAAAGACUGACGCUGAGGCGCGAAAGUGUGGGGAGCGAACAGGAUUAGAUACCCUAGUAGUCC
rnacentral:rRNA from 1 species